GUCCUGCCUACAGCCAUCAAGACCCAGCGACUCUGUGCAGUCAAAAGAACCUCAGACGGAAAAUGAUGAUCAGACUGAUACUGGUGAUUAUGGUCCUACAUGUGGGUACCAUCGCAGGUUUGACUCCGUGUCCAAACCAAGCCUACCCACAUUGGUUCAAGCUGGGGGAUGUUUGUGCCAGAUACUUUGCAUAUGAAUUCAACUUUGCUGACGCUGAGACAAGGUGCGGAGGAGAAGCUGCAGGUGGACAUCUUAUAUCUAUUCAUGAUGAGCAAACCAGUGAAGACGUGCAAAUUCUUACUGGGUCUUCUUAUACACGGGUCUGGAUUGGAGGAUUCAAGAUUCCCCAUAGUGGUAAAUUUGUAUGGACUGAUGGGUCAAACUGGGAUUACACAAACUGGGUUCAAGGGGAACCUAACGGUAAUGGUGACUGUGUGCAGAUCAACUAUGAUACUCCUGGCAAGUGGGAUGAUGUCCAGUGCUGGAGUUCACGUGGAUACGUCUGUGCUUUCAAGAUAUAGCAGCAUGGAGAAAUCUUCUGGCACAAUGCUGUCAUUUGGUAUAGCAUUAACUUCUAGUUGUGCAUUCAAACUGUUGGGCCUUGAAGGAAAUGUGUGAUCUUUUCUUCUUUUUACAAAGUGUCAUAAUGUCUUUUCAGAGAAUAAUGGCAUUUUGUAUACCUUACUAACCUUUCACAAUUGCAUGAUAAAAAGAAUUUAAAAAAAUUAACUUAUCAUAAAGUAUGGUGUCAUC